rnacentral:rRNA from 1 species
UGGGGAAUUUUGCGCAAUGGGCGAAAGCCUGACGCAGCAACGCCGCGUGGGUGAUGAAGGUCUUCGGAUCGUAAAACCCUGUCGUCAGGGACGAAGGUUGCAGGGGUAAUAUCCGUGCAACUUGACGGUACCUGGAGAGGAAGCCCCGGCUAACUCUGUGCCAGCAGCCGCGGUAAUACAGAGGGGGCAAGCGUUAUUCGGAAUUAUUGGGCGUAAAGGGCGCGUAGGCGGUGAUUUAAGUGAGAUGUGUAAUCCCCGAGCUUAACUUGGGAACUGCAUCUCAGACUGGGUCGCUAGAGUGCUGGAGAGGGUGGUAGAAUUCCACGUGUAGCGGUGAAAUGCGUAGAGAUGUGGAGGAAUACCAGUGGCGAAGGCGGCCACCUGGACAGUAACUGACGCUGAGGCGCGAAAGUGUGGGUAGCAAACAGG